rnacentral:lncRNA from 1 species
GGACAACCUCUUGCCAUAAAACUAAAAGCAAAUAAAAAAUCCUACAGCUUACCUACCCAAGUGUGACCGGCCUAGACAUGCUACUAGCGAUUAAACCUAUAGAACAAAAUAAUUAGCAAGUUAAACUCAACUUUCAUUAUCAAUGUUCGACCCCCAUAUUCAAAGCGACCAAGAAUCCAAUCAAUCUACUUAGAAUGUACUAAAUUAACGCCUAUCAGUAAAUCAAUGAAACAUGGGGUUAAAAAUCAUUUUUAACAAUCAAGACCUAUCCAAAGCAUAUUUAAACUAAACACCUACUAAACAAAGUACAAACAGGGAUCAUAACAUAAGCAAAUAUUACCCAAGACAUUUCAAAAGCAGAACAAAUAUCCACCAAGACAUUUCGAAAGCAGAACCAUUAACAUAACUCGUAUGAUCAACCAAACCAAAGCAAAGACUGAUUAAUGAGAACAUUAAGACACGAAUAUUAAGCAAUAACGAAGUAGUAGAACAUGAGAAACAAACCUCAAACAAAUCUGAAAAUUACUUAUGAGACAGCUUUGCACUCAAAAAUAUGACGGACCGUGGACGGAAUCUCAAUUGCGAUCGAUCUCGAACAAGAACAGGGAACUCGGACCCCACGGAUACUGUUCAAACGACUCUAACUCAAAACAGCUCCAAACUUAACUAGAUUCCAUGUCUCAGAAAUUCAAGACCGAAGAUGAAUGAAUGAAGAAGCUUACAUCCCUUUUUUUUUGUUAUUUUUCUGAUUUUUAAAACGAAAAUAAAACUUGAAUCGUUCCCCUUUUUUUAUUUCUGUCCAGAUUUUCUUCUUAGCCUCUAUCCUCGUCAAUCUCUGUGAUAUUGUGUGUGUGUGUGCGCAUAUUUCUAAGCAGCAGAAUGGUGUGAGAAGAAGAACUGGGUUCAGCCUAGCAGCGGCGGCAAUGGCUGCUAGCGUUGUGGAGUGUGGGCGACUGGUGAAGGGGUGUAAGACUGAAGCUUAGGGGCUCCAGGUUAGAGGUGAUAUUUGACGAGGAGGGGGCUGGUUGGUUCAGGGGUAGACUGCGGCAGUGUAGGGUGGUGUUGACGACGAAGAUGGGACGUUUGGACGUGAACUGGUUCGUUGCUUGUUUCUCCGGCCACUAGAGGAGGUUUGGACGGUCUGUGUUUUUUUUUGAGAACCCGAGUUGCUGCGUCUUCCUUCUCUCUUUUCUAAAGUUCAAC